rnacentral:rRNA from 1 species
UACGUAGGGACCAAGCGUUGUUCGGAUUUACUGGGCGUAAAGGGCGCGUAGGCGGCAAUUCAAGUCAUCUGUGAAAUCUCCGGGCUUAACUCGGAAUGGUCAGGUGAUACUGCUUUGCUAGAGUGCAGAAGGGGCAAUCGGAAUUCUUGGUGUAGCGGUGAAAUGCGUAGAUAUCAAGAGGAACACCUGAGGUGAAGACGGGUUGCUGGGCUGACACUGACACUGAGAGACGAAAGCUAGGGGAGCGAAUGGG